rnacentral:rRNA from 1 species
AUUGAACGCUGGCGGCAUGCUUUACACAUGCAAGUCGGACGGCAGCACAGAGAAGCUUGCUUCUCGGGUGGCGAGUGGCGAACGGGUGAGUAACAUAUCGGAACGUACCGAGUAGUGGGGGAUAACUGAUCGAAAGAUCAGCUAAUACCGCAUACGUCUUGAGAGAGAAAGCAGGGGACUUUCGGGUCUUGCGCUAUUCGAGCGGCCGAUAUCUGAUUAGCUAGUUGGUGGGGUAAAGGCUCACCAAGGCGACGAUCAGUAGCGGGUCUGAGAGGAUGAUCCGCCACACUGGGACUGAGACACGGCCCAGACUCCUACGGGAGGCAGCAGUGGGGAAUUUUGGACAAUGGGCGCAAGCCUGAUCCAGCCAUGCCGCGUGUCUGAAGAAGGCCUUCGGGUUGUAAAGGACUUUUGUCAGGGAAGAAAAGGCUGUUGCUAAUACCAGCGGCUGAUGACGGUACCUGAAGAAUAAGCACCGGCUAACUACGUGCCAGCAGCCGCGGUAAUACGUAGGGUGCGAGCGUUAAUCGGAAUUACUGGGCGUAAAGCGGGCGCAGACGGUUACUUAAGCAGGAUGUGAAAUCCCCGGGCUCAACCCGGGAACUGCGUUCUGAACUGGGUGACUCGAGUGUGUCAGAGGGAGGUAGAAUUCCACGUGUAGCAGUGAAAUGCGUAGAGAUGUGGAGGAAUACCGAUGGCGAAGGCAGCCUCCUGGGAUAACACUGACGUUCAUGCCCGAAAGCGUGGGUAGCAAACA